UACGGAGGGUGCAAGCGUUAUCCGGAUUCACUGGGCUUAAAGGGUGCGUAGGCGGGCAGGUAAGUCAGUGGUGAAAUCUUUGGGCUUAACCCGAAAACUGCCGUUGAUACUAUCUGUCUUGAAUAUUGUGGAGGUUAGCGGAAUAUGUCAUGUAGCGGUGAAAUGCUUAGAUAUGACAUAGAACACCAAUUGCGAAGGCAGCUAACUACACACAUAUUGACGCUGAGGCACGAAAGCGUGGGGAUCAAACAGG
rnacentral:rRNA from 1 species